UGGGUUUGAUUGAUCAACAGU
rnacentral:piRNA from 1 species